rnacentral:rRNA from 1 species
AUCCAUGAUAAGUGAGAACUCCUGGAAUGGAUUCUCGCUGAAAGGACGUUUAGACCAUGCUUCUAGGCGUCGCCCAAGGAGGGGGCCGCGACCGAUCAGGUUGUUGGUGAGGUAACGGCUCACCAAGCCUUUAACCGGUACGGGCCGUGAGAGCGGAAGCCCGGAGAUGGGCACUGAGACAAGGGCCCAGGCCCUACGGGGCGCAGCAGUCGCGAAAACUCCGCAAUACACGAAAGUGUGACGGGGUCAUCCCGAGUGCCAUCCGCUGAGGAUGGCUUUUCCCCAGUGUAUAAAGCUGGGGGAAUAAGGAGAGGGCAAGCCUGGUGUCAGCCGCCGCGGUAAUACCAGCUCUCCGAGUGGUGGGGAUGCUUAUUGGGCCUAAAGCAUUCGUAGCCUGCUUGGCAAGUCCUCCGUUAAAUCCAACGAUUCAAUCGUUGGGCUGCGGGGGAUACUGUCCGGCUAGGGGGCGGGAGAGGCCGACGGUAUCCUCGGGGUAGGGGUGAAAUCCUAUAAUCCCGGGAGGACCACCAGUGGCGAAGGCUGUCGGCUAGAACGCGCUCGACGGUGAGGGAUGAAAGCUGGGGGAGCGAACCGGAUUAGAUACCCGGGUAGUCCCA